UCAUCACACACACACACACACACACACACACACACACACACACACACACACACACACACACACACACACACACACACACACACACACACACACACACACACACGCUUGAGCAACUCCUGAACUUCUAGGUUCCUCCCUGUCAAUAUUCCCUGCGCUUGCUUUUUUUCAACUUCUCAUUUUCAGAUGCCUCUCAGUCUGAUUAACCCGCAUGGACGUCACUCUUUCCUAAUCAAGCAUGUGGAAGUUUAUGGUGCAACCCGCGAGCUGCAGAGUUGUGACAUUCCAGCUGCUGGCAGGUUUAACUGUGUGUGUGAUGCCUUUGUUCAUGAAGCUAACCUGCUUGAAACAUCAAGACAAAACAACAGAACGAUGCAGAAGCAGCACUGAUUUGCUCUGAACCACAAACUUGUGGUGUGUGUCACAGUUUGACCCGACGCAGACGCUGAGCUGUUGCCCGUUUCAUCUCAAUGAUGAGUUAAUCCGCGUAUCCUGAGACGUUGCCGUCUGCCUGACCCUGUUAUGCAACAUUACUCCACACUCCUCAUGUUCAGAGCAAGGAUCUGCAAAGCCGACGGACCCGUUUGUUGCCCUCACUACUGUAUGUGGAACAGGAAGCCACUCUCCACUACUUCCUGUCUGAUAACGCAGAUGCCAGAAAGAGCAGGAGGAAACCGCACCAGGAGAAAUGGGGAGGUUGGAAAAUCGAGUUGGGCACUGGGUGAUAAAACUAAAACCUCAGUGAAGCUGCCACAGGGAUGCAUUAUUCAGUCAGUCUGGAUGACGUGGAGACUAACUUUGAGCUGCUGUGCAAAUCAGAUAAUACAAAGAGAGUACGCGUGUCUGCGGAGAUAACGGGGAGGAAGGGGUGAGGGACAGCUUGGGAGCAAAGCAGUGAAAGAGGCCCAGACAGCAGGAUAAACACAGAGAGAUAGCGCGGCAGCAACUGUGUCACAAGAUCCAAGGACUUGUUUUGUCUUUGUGGGAAUCAGAGGAAGGAGGAGGAGCUGCACGUGUGAGCGGCAGGCGGUGAUGGAGGCUGCUGCUGCUGCUGCUGCUGCUGCUGCUGCUGCACCAUGCGAGGUGGAGGGACUCCAGGGAAGAUGAACCUCCCCAAAAAGCCCUUUCAUGUGCGAUGGGCGCUGCACCUCUGCCUCUGCCUCCUCCUUAUCUCCACACACAGGCCUGGUAUCAGUUUCCCUGCGCUGGCUGACUCCGUAACCGACACCCGCCGUCUGCCUGCUGCCCUUCCCUGUCGGACCAUCACCAUCACAGUGGGAAAGUUAUUCAUCAACAACAGCAACUAUUUAAACUCGAUAAAAGUCAUGUGACAUCUGUGAGAUGAUGCAUGUUGGCAUGAGGCACAGUUUUAUGGUCUCGCAGUCACUUCAGACACAACAGGCUUAUUUACUUUGACCUUAUCUUGAAGCUGGAAGGUGCCGUCGGAGCCUCCAGAAGCAGCCUCAGUCUCCAGCAGAGCAGACGUCUCCCUCUGAGGUCCCCACUGGUAACGGCACUGUAUCAGAUUCCCAUUCAAGCGGCACAGACACUAUGAUAGACCACCGUGUCAGUGUGGGAGGCCUCGGGCAGUGUUGAUGCUGCUCUGAAGCAGUCCGUUCAGCGACUGGAUGGAUUUCUGUGAAAUCUGCUACCUGGAAAUGAAUCACACGUUUUUCAAAAGGUCGGGUUUGUUCUCCAACGCAGCGUUCCACCGCACACGGAUUCACCCACCGGACUCUUCUCCCCUCCUCUGUCUGGUGUCAUGAUACUUCAUUUGAUGCUUCAUCUUUUAGCACUGAACUGCAAGUCACAGACCAAACUGGCUGAAUAAAUGACUACACAGACGGUU